AUUGAACGCUGGCGGCAGGCCUAACACAUGCAAGUCGAGCGGAUGAAGGGAGCUUGCUCCUGGAUUCAGCGGCGGACGGGUGAGUAAUGCCUAGGAAUCUGCCUGGUAGUGGGGGAUAACGUCCGGAAACGGGCGCUAAUACCGCAUACGUCCUGAGGGAGAAAGUGGGGGAUCUUCGGACCUCACGCUAUCAGAUGAGCCUAGGUCGGAUUAGCUAGUUGGUGGGGUAAAGGCCUACCAAGGCGACGAUCCGUAACUGGUCUGAGAGGAUGAUCAGUCACCUUGGAAGUUGGAACGGGACCAGACGCCUACGGGAGGCAGCAGUGGGGAAUAGUGGAAGAUGGUCGAAAGCCUGAAAAAGCCAUGACGCGGGUGGGAAGAAGGUCUUCUGAUUGUAAAGCUCUUUAAGUUGGAAGGAAGGACAGUAAGCUAAUAACUUGCUGGUUUGACGUUACGAACAGAAUAAGAACAGGCUAACUUCGUG
rnacentral:rRNA from 1 species